UACGUAGGAUGCAAGCGUUGUCCGGAAUCAUUGGGCGUAAAGCGCGUGUAGGCGGCCCGGUAAGUCCGCUGUGAAAGUCGGGGGCUCAACCCUCGAAUGCCGGUGGAUACUGUCGGGCUAGAGUGCGGAAGAGGCGAGUGGAAUUCCUGGUGUAGCGGUGAAAUGCGCAGAUAUCAGGAAGAACACCCGUGGCGAAGGCGGCUCUCUGGGACGGUACUGACGCUGAGACGCGAAAGCGUGGGGAGCGAACAGG
rnacentral:rRNA from 1 species